AGCUUGAAACUCUCCACCAUCCUAAGCGACGCUGUUCAGAGGAGCCGUCGCGGAGCCCGGGGGCUCCGGGCGCUCAGCUCGGCCGUUGGUGGGCAGGGCCGGAGCCGAGGCGCCGGAUGUGCGGAGCGGCGGAGACGCCGUGUCGGGUCACGCUGCGAGCGGCCGCGGCCUCCGGGCCAACGGGAGCAGCCCGCACACCGACAGGCAGCAGCGGGGAAGCCGAAGGGAGCGCGGGCAGCAGGCAUCUCUGUCCCUGUGCACAAAGUAUGGGAAUGGGACAUCAUCCAGAGGUGCAACAGCAGUGGAGAUCUCACCUUGAGCGUGAUGCCAGCACAGCCAGCAUCCAAACAUCAAGCAUCCCAACUCCAGUCCCUGAGAGGUGCUGAGACAGGUGGCUUUAAAUUGAUUCCAGAGCUCUGCCUGCAAACCUGCAGCAUCUUUAGCUCCAGUAAUUUAGAUCUGACCAAGCUGUCCAUAGUGAAUUGCUUUGAGUCUCUCCCUGUGGAAAGCAUCCCUUGCUCUUUGAUGGGUCUAUCAGUUCCAAAUGCCUAAGCCUCCUUUCCAGCAGUAGUGAGAGGGCUCAUCUUCCCAAAACAAUCCUUCAGCAAUCCUUGAACAUGCAUCCUGCUGAGAACACACAGCCUGCUAGCCCCACCAAACUGGGGGGCAUAAAUAUUCCCUCCUGCAGUAAUCAGCAUCUGGGGCUCUAGAAGCUGGCCAAGGUGAGAGUGCAUUGUCUGAGGGGAUGGAGCAAAAUGAGAUGAUCUCAGCUGUUUGUUCAGAUUGGAAAACUGUUGGAGAAAUAAUAUUACCAUUUCAUUGCCAGUGGCCUGGUGUGACCUGCUUUGCUGCAAAUGCUUGUCUUUGGCUCACACUUUCAAGUCCUUUCUACAACAUAUUCAUAAAAUUUCAGGGGAAAAAGAUUCAGAUAAAUUUCUGAUGGAUUUCACCAUUAUUUUCAUGCUGAAUUCUCUGAGAAAAGGACACCCUUCAAGAUAGAUCAAGAGGUGAAGAAUCCAUAACUUCCCUUGGCAAUUUGAUCCAAGGACUAACUGCCCUCUCAGUUAAAUUUUAAUUACUAAUUUUUAAUUUGCAUCUCUCUGGCUUUAUCUGCAGUUCUGCCUUUGCUCCCUCCCCACUCUAUUUCUAAUAGUUGGUAGAAAUGCAGUCCCAUAUUUUCUCAGUUGUUUGGGGGGUUUUCUAGCUAAACUGGCUAAGCCUAUUAUGGUUACCAUUGUAAGUAAUAUUGCUAGAGCUUUGGCAAUUUUUAUUCUUUCUAGUAUUUCAUCCAGUUUUUCAAUAUACACUCUGAAAAGUGAAGUGUUGAUUUGUACUAAUAUACUGCAGUUUCAGUCUAGUCAGGAGGACCAUGGACAGAGGAAAAUCCCAUGACCCAUGGGUCCUCUGUUGACAUAUCUAGACAUAUCUAUGACCAUAUUUGCUCUUUUAUUAAGGAUUCACACUGAAAGCUUAUACUUCUCACUUCUGCUUUCCAGCACUCUUGCUGUUUUUUCUGCAAUCAUUGCCUACAUUUUUAUUUCUUGACACUCUGUUUUCACUUGAUUUUAAUAAAAGUUAAUUGAUUUGAAAAGGUAUGACUUAA
ensembl:lncRNA